GUUAGCGUGCCCGAGUGGUUAAGGGGAUUGAUUCGAAAUCAAUUAGGCUUGUCCUUCGUAGGUUCGAGUCCUGCCGUUAACU